GGACCGGACUCCCCAACUCCCCACCACCCCACUCCCCACCCACCAGGAGAGACCCUGCUCUCCCUUCUCCCAGCCCACACCCUCCUGCAGGCCCUUUCUGCGCUCCGGCCCCACCUUGCCUCCAGCUCCUGUUCCUUCACAGUUCUCCCUUGUACGCCUGACUUCUCAUCUCCUUCCAUCUGACUCCACCCUGUCCUUCCUAAAUCAUUCUCCAGACUCCAUGUCUUUCGGCAGCCAAAGGCCGGAGGAGCCCCUCAGAGCAGGGAGAUGGGAGCAGCCACAGAUGAAGUGCAGGCGUUCUUUAAGAGGCAAAGAGAGAUCCAGAGUCACCCCUUUUCUUCCCUGCAAGGACCCCACGCAGCCCUGGGCUAUGAUCCAUUUAUCAAGAGCUGCUGUGAGUGUGGGCAGAGACGCAGAACUGGUGCCAGGGCCUCAGAAACACUCGGGCAGCAUGAGAAGCCUCAGGAUGAGAGCAAGAGGAAGCUGCUCCAUCACUCGGUCUUCCAGGUACCUGCUCCCUGCCAUAGCCGCAUCUCAGCGCUCUUGUGGGUUCUGUGGAAAUGAGGCCAGGCUCCCUGAAUCCCUGAGACAUCCAGGUUCGUUGAUUCCCUCUCUAAUCAGACUGUAGAUAUUUAGAACAGGGACCAAAGUAUAAGCUUCUCCCAUCACACCCCAAGCCCAGGCACACAGGAGAUAUGUGUGGCUUGAUUGACAAUGAAGAGGAGGACAGAUAAAAGUAAGGCAGGGAGGUCCCCUUUCAGAUGCAGAAGAGAGUCCUGCCUGCAUCUGAGAAACCUCCUGCCCAACUGUUAUUCAUUUGCCUUCUCUCUGCCAGUCCUCCCUGGAAGCCUACCUUUGGCCUCCAGGUAUCUGCUAAUAAUUCUCUUCCCUUCACCACCUGAGUGUGGUCAAAAUGCCUCUUUGUAAUUGCUCUCUGCAGCCAGUUAGAUAUGCACUCAAACAUAUCCAUUUUGGGAGGUGUAGGGGUGUGAAAGGCAUUCUUGGCAGUGGUCAUAGCCAAAUAGGGACGGGGAAGCCACAGGAAGGAAAGGUCCACUAUUCAAUAACAUUCAACAAAUGGGACUGACAUGACCAGGUUUGUUUUUAAGGAAUAUCAUUCAGAGACUUAUAAAGAAUGACAAUACAAAUGGAAUAGAAAGGAAGUUAAAGAGGUGAUAGCUUCCCCAAUCUCUACUGAUCUUAUGAAUAAUUAUAGCACUAUUGAUUAAGCACUUUCUAUGUGCCAGACACUUUACUAAAUACUCUUUAAAAAUUACCAUAUUUCAUCUUCAAAACAAUUCUAUAAAGCAGUGUUAAUAGUAUCCCUGUGGAAACUGAGGUUCAUAGAGAUUAAGUAGAUUGUUCAAGAUUACACAUGAAAUGUAAGAGCCAGAAUUUGAACCCAGACAGCCCUAAAACCUCUGUCCUUGCUCUUUGGCUGGUGGGUGGCCUCAUACUUACUAUUUGUUUGUUUUGCCAGGAGGAUCCUUAAAAACACCUUUUGCUCUCUCAGGCUAGGCAUGUGGUAAGAGGCAGAAAGAAUCUUGGAG
ensembl:lincRNA